GUGAGGAAUUUUCCGCAAUGGGCGAAAGCCUGACGGAGCAAUGCCGCGUGAAGGAUGAAGGCCUAUGGGUUGUAAACUUCUUUUCUUAGAGAAGAAUAUUGACGGUAUCUGAGGAAUAAGCAUCGGCUAACGCUGUGCCAGCAGCCGCGGUAAGACAGAGGAUGCAAGCGUUAUCCGGAAUGAUUGGGCGUAAAGCGUCUGUAGGUGGCUUCAAAAGUCUCCUGUCAAAGAUCAGGGCGUAACCCUGGGCCGGGAGGGGAAACUCUGAGGCUAGAAUUUGGUAGGGGCAGAGGGAAUUCCCGGUGGAGCGGUGAAAUGCGUAGAGAUCAGGAGGAACACCAAAGGCGAAAGCACUCUGCUGGGCCACAACUGACACUGAGAGACGAAAGCGAGGGGAGCAAAAGGGAUUAGAAACCCCAGUAGUCC
rnacentral:rRNA from 1 species